GAUGAAGAACGUAGCGAAAUGCGAUAAGUAAUGUGAAUUGCAGAAUUCAGUGAAUCAUCGAAUCUUUGAACGCACAUUGCGCCCGCCAGUAUUCUGGCGGGCAUGCCUGUUCGAGCGUCAUUUCAACCCUCAAGCCCAGCUUGGUGUUGGGGAUCGGCACAGGCGCCCUCGGGCGCCCGCCGUCCCCUAAAUCUAGUGGCGGUCCCGCUGCAGCCUCCUCUGCGUAGUAGUUUUCUCCUCGCAAGGGCAGCUCGGUGGCGACCUCGCCGUAAAACCCCCAACUUCUGAAAAGUUGACCUCGAAUCAGGUAGGAAUACCCGCUGAACUUAAGCAUAUCAAUAAGCGGAGGA
rnacentral:misc_RNA from 1 species